rnacentral:rRNA from 1 species
UCUGAUACUGGCAAGCUUGAGUCUCGUAGAGGGGGGUAGAAUUCCAGGUGUAGCGGUGAAAUGCGUAGAGAUCUGGAGGAAUACCGGUGGCGAAGGCGGCCCCCUGGACGAAGACUGACGCUCAGGUGCGAAAGCGUGGGGAGCAAACAGGAUUAGAUACCCUGGUAGUCCACGCCGUAAACGAUGUCGACUUGGAGGUUGUGCCCUUGAGGCGUGGCUUCCGGAGCUAACGCGUUAAGUCGACCGCCUGGGGAGUACGGCCGCAAGGUUAAAACUCAAAUGAAUUGACGGGGGCCCGCACAAGCGGUGGAGCAUGUGGUUUAAUUCGAUGCAACGCGAAGAACCUUACCUGGUCUUGACAUCCACGGAAGUUUUCAGAGAUGAGAAUGUGCCUUCGGGAAC